GCGAUGCUGCAACGGCCCAACGACUUGAGAGUCACUGAGGCCAAGGCCACAGAGAGAGACACGGUGGCUAAAGUCUUCCCCAGGAAGCGUCCGGCCAUCAGCAGCCCGCGGGAAGAUGUGCGGAGCGGGGUCGCUGUUAGCUUGGGCCGCAGCCUCCGGCCUCCCCACACCCCUGGGCCCCGGGUAUCCAGCAGGCACUAGGACCGGGCGGCCCUCGGGUUCCGGAGCGGGAGCAGCCAGUUUUAUCUCAUCAACACACAGGGGACCAAACGCCCUCCCCAAGCAACGGCCCAGCUCGACACGCCGCCCAGGGGACGCCCAAGCGGCCAGCGCCAGCAGACGGGAAAAGAGCCAACCGGGCCGUGACGUCCCCGGUGCGCGACGGCACUUUACGACAGCGCCGCAAAGCGAAGACGGCGCAGGCUUCGUAGAGCCGGCUUCGCUCAGCUUGUCGUCCUUGCUGAGCUGUGUUUGGGACCGGGUUAGGGAGGCUGCUGGGCAAGCGCUGAGAAAGCCGGAAAGUGAAAGGAGCCGAAGAAUUGGAAAGGGAAAGAAAGAAAGAGGGUUGAGAGAAGUGUGUCGUCCUGGCUGUUCCGGCAGGAAGGGGUUACAGGCGGCUGAUGUAGUGAGCCACGCGUGUCCCAGCCAUAUCUGAGUUAUGCGUGGUUGCAGGGAAAGGAGGGAGGUGAGAGACUUGCAAUCCCCGCAUCCGAGGCUUUUCUCUUCCUUUUCUACCAAGUUGUUCGCUGCAAUGGGUAAAAGCCGUAACCCACGGAGGAGUAAACCAGUUGUGAGAUAGACGCAGAGCCUGGAAGAGAAACCGAGGGUUAAGACGCGAGAUACCUGCAGAGGCAAAACUUGGCCACACGGGAAAUUGGAAAUCAAGAUCGUUCAGAAGUUUGUAAUGUGGUUUUCAUGUUUGAUAUUCGUUGCCUUAUUAAUGUGUGGAAAUAUUUAACUUGCAAGUGCAUAAUCCGCUGGUUCUGUGGUGUGGUGUGGACACAGACCGUAUAAAACUUUUGACCAUCUCAAAAACCAGAUUUAUCAAACCUUAACAACUUGUUCUGAAGGCUGUAGAGCUCUCGGCCUAUGAAGGCUCCCUCAGAACCUCUGCGCUGAGACUUGUCCAAACUCUUGCUGACGAAAAUUCAGUUAACUCAAGUUAAGAAAAAAAGGGAAUUUUAUUUGAGCCAAACUGAUGGUGAUAACACAGGAAGCAGCCUCAGAAAGCUCGGAGGACCAUUCUGCCUGUUAGAAGUCGAAGGCACAGGCAUAUACAUUUUUGAAACAAAGGAUCGUACAUCAAAAUGACCGACUAGUAUUUUAUAUAAACUUCACCAAAGAUACAUAGUCCAGGCAUGUGGGAUCUUAAUUCCCCAACCAGGGAUCAAACCCGUGCCCCUGAAUUUGGAAUGUGAAGUCUUAACCACUGGACCGCCAGGCAAGUCCCUCAUCCCUCUGUCUUAAUCAUAUGGAAAAAGUUAAAGCCGGAUACGAGUUUGGAUUCUCCUCCUGUUAAGUCAAACGGAGCUCGAAAAAAUCACGGAGUGUGGUGUCUAAACACAAUGGAAUGAAAGAAGAAAAAUCUCUUAACUGAGAAAGGCUUCUGUGGAUGAGGAUCUAGGAGCUACUUAAAUGACUGGAGUGACGUGCUGAAGACCAGAGGUGGAUGGAGAGUAUUACCACUCCGCGUGAAGAGGGAACGGAGGCCAAAGGAAUGGCUGAAACGGAGCAGGAGAGAGUAGAGAAACUCCGCCGUGCAAGUCUUUCCAGCUGACCAACAAUGAACUCCUAGAAUACACCUAACAUAAGCAAGUACUGAGGAAGGUGUUCCCACCUAUCAGGAUACAGUGAAGUGUUGUAUUUAACUCAUAUGUCAUGAAAAAUCCUCCCCUGUAAUUUUCGUAGGGGUCUGGGAAAGGAUGGAGAAAGUCAUGUGUGCUCAGCUCGUGGAAUGUAAGCAGAAAUCCUAAAGCAUUGCUUUCCCUAUUCUGGGUACUUGUGUGUGCUGUCUUGUGAAGCACCUGCUUAUGCAUUUUGCUCAAUUUUCUUUAGGGCUGCUCUUCUUCUGCAGCUUGGUUGUGAUUUCUUUUGUAAAUUAAGAAUAUGAGCUCCCUGGCUUUUGUGCUGCAAAAAUUUUCCUCAGAAGGUUGUUUAGUUUGGACGUUGCAUGACUGUGUGCUUGCUGUUUCAGGAAAUUUUGUUCGAUCACGUCUUUCCCUAUGUAUCAGUUGUUUUCAUUCUUUGGUUCCAUUUCUGAAUUCUCUGGUAUGUUUGAUCGGCUUGUGUUUGUUUGUUUUAUGUAUAGCUUUGUUGUUUGCAAUAAGCACGUAAAGUUUACAAGAAUAGUACGAAAAACUCCCCAAAUAUUUAUAUUCUACCACAUUUGCUUUAUCUUUCUAUUAUUGGUAUUGUUAUUUUCUGAACCAUUUGAGAGUAAGUUGUACACACAAAGACUCUUUACUGCUAAAUAUUUCACUGUGUAUUUCCUAAACCUUAAAUAGCCUCACUGUGGUAAUCAAAAGAAGGAAAUUAGUAUUGAUUUAAUGCAUCCAUCUUGAGUUAAGACCUUAUUCAAAUUUUGCCUAUUUUCCUAAUAAUUUACUUUAUAGCAAUAAGGAACAAGGAAAAGAAGUCCCCUGCCCAGGAUCUACCCAGGAAUGUGCUCUGCUAGAUGUCAUCCCCUCUCAGUCAAUAAUCUGAAGCAAGCCCUUAGCCGUUUUUGUGUUUUAUGAUUUGACACUUUGAAGAGUACAUUUUCUCUGUUGAGGUUUGUUUGACCUUACCUCGAGAUUAGACACAGUUUAUGCUUUUUGGGUUGGAACACGGAGUAAUGUUGAAUACUUCAUAGUGACAUUAACAUUGAUCAUUUCGUUAAGGUAGUGUCUGACAGGUUCUCCACUGGAAGGAGAUUUUGAGACUAUAUAAAUACCUUGGCUUUUAUUACGGUAGAGAGUCUAGAGACAGCCACCACCAAACCCUCCUGUACCACAUUGCAUGCUGCUUCUCACAUCAAGAGGUAGAAUCUAAUUUUCCUCCCUUGAAUCUGAGCUGGCAGUGAUGAACGGCUUCACCAACAGAAUGAGGUGGAAAGGAUGUUCUGGUGUCGCAGAAGCUAAAUCGCAAGUAGCUUCCCAGCCUCCACGUGGAUGUCUUGAAAGCAUUGCUCCCUGGAUAUUGCCUCUUAGAGCUCAGCUAUCGUGCUGUGAGAGGCCCAGGUUAUGUGGAGAGGUUCUGUGCAGGUGCCCAGGGUCACAGUUCUAGCUGAGCUCCCAGCUCCCAGUCAGCAUCAUUGAUAAGUGAGCUAGUUGAGGGGUUCAGUCCACACGAUGACUCCAACACCAGAUGCCAUCUGACUGCAGCCAUGUGAGUGACCCUGAGGAAGAACCAGAUAGCUGGGCCCUGACAAGCCACGGGGCUAUGAGAGGUAAUAAUAAUUUUUUGUCUUAAGCCUCUAAGUUUAGGUUGAUUUGUUGCACGGUGAUAGAUACAUACAACAACAGUUAGCUGGAACUGGGUUUCUGCUAUAAUAAAGACCUAAAACUUGCGGCAUUGGCCUUGGGACCAGGCAGCAAGCAAAUACUGGAAGGCCCUUGAGGACACAACGAAAUCUGAGGGACAGUUAGGAAAUGAUUAUUGGAAGCUGGAGAAGUAAGGACUCUUGCUAUGUAGUCUCAGAAAGUUUGGCAAUAAUGUUGCCUCCAGAAAUGUGGCAGGUGGAAAUGAGCUAAUGGAUUUGGCCAAGGAGAUUCCAUGUAGAAUGUUGAAAGUCCCUCCUGUUUCUUUCAGCUACAUAUGCUAAAAGUAAAGGAUAGAGAGAAUUGAACUAAAAAGGGGUGCUCUUAAGUUUGGGGACAGUUCCCCGGGGAAUUAAGUUUUCUCAAGAUAAGAAAGGGCCUCUGGGUAAAGACCAAAUCGAGGACAUUAAUAGUAACACUGGUGUCAAAGUUAAAACAUAGUUAAGGGUGCAGCUGUAAUCCCCAUCGCUGAGUCGUCAGAAAGACUUGAGGGUGUGCCUUGCAGACCCAGUGAGGUGGACAGGAGCUUCUAAGAAUCUCAAGGACAUUUUCCCACAGUGACCUGACUCUCAGGCCAAGGUAGAGAAGUAGGUGCUUCCCAACGAGCUUUAGCUGUGGCUUUUGUAUAAAGGAGUGAACCCUAAUAAGAGUAGUGGGGAGCAUGUUAAGUUUUUAAGACGCAUUUUUAGAAGCACCGUCUGCUUGGAUUGAAAGGACAGGAGUAGUUCAAGGUGAAAAGGGCCUCAAGAGUCCCCAGCUGAUUCAGGGAGGAUACAUUUUGAGAAAGCUACUCAGCCAUUAAACAUGGAUCAUUUCUUAUAGAAAAGGAAGAUGGGCUCACAAUGAAGAGCAGAGAGUCCAGAGGCUAGAAACAAAAGUCAUGGAGAACCACUGCCACAGAGAAGGCUGGCCCCAGACAAGGAACUAGUGACAUGUGCCUGCCACAGUUUCAGAACCGCUUUGGUCUAGGGACUGCACUGUGCCUCCUGACUAGUUCAUUCACGCCCAUCCGGUUGUUUCUCGUGAGAAUAUUUAUUUUGAUUUUCCUAUUCCUGUAUCACCACUACAUGUAGGGUUUGUGCUGUGUUGGGGGGAGGGGGAGAUAACUUGUCUCUAGUUCACAGGUCUCCAGACUGAGGGGAACCAUACUUGAAGACCUUUGUAGGCACAACUCAGAGAUACUGCAGGUUCAGUUACAGACGGCCACAGCUAAGCAAAUAGUGCAAUAAAGCAGGUCACAUGGAUUUUUUGGUUUCCUAGUGGAUAUAAAAUUUAUGUUUAAAAGUUAUGUUUAAGCAAUAGCAUUAUGUCUAAAAAAAAAAACAAUGUAUAUACCUUAAUUAAAAAUACUUUAUUGCUAAAAAAUGCCAAAACAAUAACAAUUGUAACAUCAAAAGUCACUGAUUGUACAUCACCUUAACAAAUAUAAUAAUAAUGAAAAAGUUUGAAAUAUUGCAAGAAUUACCAUAAUGUGACACAGAGACAUUAAGUGAGCAAAUGCUGCUAGAAAAAUGACACCAAUAGACUUGCUUGAUUCUGGGUUGACACAAACCUUCAAUUGGUAAAAAAUGCAAUAUCUGUGAAGCUCAGUAAAGCAAAAUGCAAUAAAAUGAGAUAUGUCUGUACCCAGGAAACUAUAUAAUCUGUAUCUGAAUGUAAGUUAAAUGAGGAGAUCCUGGACUUUGAGCUGAUGCCAUAGUAAAAUAAGACUCUAGGGGAUCUUGGGAGUGGUGGUGAGUCCAUUUUUCUUUACAUAAGAAAAAUGUAAAUUGUGAGGGCUUCCCUGGUGGCACAGUGGUUGGGAGUCCGCCUGCUGGUGCAGGGGACACGGGUUCGUGCCCCGGUCCGGGAAGAUCCCACAUGCCGCGGAGCGGCUGGGCCCGUGAGCCAUGGCUGCUGAGCCUGCGCGUCUGGAGCCUGUGCUCCGCAAUGGGAGAGGCCACAACAGUGAGAGGCCCGCGUACCGCAAAAAAAAAAGAAAAAUGUAAAUUGUGGUGAUCAGAAGGUGAACUAUGGCAAAGAGUAUCCAGAAAUGUCCCCCAUCCAUUACUUUCUUUUCGGCGCAUAUGCUGCUCAUCAUAUCAGGAGGUGGGGUCAGAUUACUCUCUUCUUGAAUAUGGGCUGGACUCAGUGACCUGUCUGCCCAACAGAAUGUGGCAGAAAACUAUUCUGGGACUUAUGAAGCUAUGUUAUGAGGUCUUACAAUUUCUUCCUGGGUUUCUUAGAAUGCUUAUUCUUGGAAUGCUUCCUUUCAGAACUAAUAACCAUCCUGUGAAAAAUCCAAGCCACACGGCGAGGUGUGGUACAGGUGCUCCAGUUACAGCCCUAGCUAAUAGCCAGUAUUGGCUGCUAACCGUGUGAGUGGACCACCUUGGACAUGUAUCCCAGAUGAACUCCAGCUGAUUCUAGCUCCAGCCACUACUGAGCUGUAAUCAUGGGAAAAUCCCAAACAAGAACCCCCCAGCUAAGCUAAGGCAAGCCACACAAUUAUUAGAGGUAAUAACUUUUAAGCCACUACGUUUUAAGGUUGUUUGUGGUGCAGUAAAGUGAAACACUCGUUUUUACACUUUUACUCAUUAGUUUUAGCAUGCCUGUUUAUUUUUGGGAGUACCAAACUGCUCAACACGAUUGUAUAAUACAUCGUAGGGUCAGUUUCCCAUCAUUCCAGAACGAGUGGGUUUGCUAUACAGGCUCCACAGUCAUUAACUAGACUCAAGAGUCUAUCUCAACCUCUUGUAAAUGUAUCCUGGAAUGUUAUUGAACUGUUUUGUACCUCAGUUUCCUUAUUUAUAAAGUAUAAUAAAAAAUACCUAAUUUAUUUUGUUGUAUAGAGGAAUUAAUGAGAUAAUGUAUGUAAAUUGCUUAAUAGAGCACCUAGCUCUUUAUCAGGGCUCAGUAAAUGUUAGCUAUUAUUAUUACUCUUCUUUAUCAGAUUUUUUAGAUCUUAAUAAAGACAUUUAAUCUCAUUAGAGUGUUAUUUCAUUAAAGCAUUCCCUCUAUGAAGUUAAUUGAUAUGUUUUUCUGUCUUUAUUAUAUUGUUAAAAUGUCUUUGGACUGCUUUAAUGUUUGAAAUUAUUUAGACUAAUAUAUUAAAUAAAUGUUAGCUUAGAUCUACAAUUUUAUAGAAAGCCCAAGGACUUAGAUGGAUUUUGUAUUCAGAAUCUUCUGUUUCAGACAGGUACUCUGUGUUAUAUAACACUCUCAGAAGAGGGCUAGGUUAUCCAAUCUAUGAACAGUUAUCCAAUCUAUUAACAGUUCUACAGUAAAACUUAUGGCUAAGAGGAAUGAAAAAUGACUAAAAGUAGUCAAGUUUUAUUAUCAAAUGAAUCCCAGUCAGAUCAUGUUUCAGCACCAAAUGAGUUAUGGAAAAAAUUUUCAAUUUUCAGAGUUGUUGGAUUUUGAAAUUGCAAAUAAGAGAUUGUGGACCAGCACACUUUCCUUGUGUUUGAAUUCUUUGUGUGUGUCAUGCAUCAAUAACCUCUCCUUUGGAACCCCCAAAGAAUUAGUAAUUAGUGGUUGGAGUGCAGAAGUGAAUGGACUUGCUCAGGGAGGUACUCAAAGUGACUGGGAAACAUCUUGCUGGGUUUCUUAGAAUACUCAUUAAAAAUUGCAUGUUUGCAUGUUUUCUCAUUGGUUUAAUUUUUUCAUUCCUCAUGAGAUUUUUUUUUCCAAAAUAAGAGAAAACAACUAAAAUCAAUUGCUGAAGUUUUCUCUUGCAAAACAACAUAAAUGCUGCCUAGACAACCUAGUAAGAUAUAGAGCCAAUAAUUUGAACAGAGUAUCCAAACCUAAAAAAAAGCUGAUUUAGAAUAUGACCCAAAUUCUCCUGGAAAAAAACAUAGAGAAGAUGGUAAAAUGCCAAUCUGGUGAUUUUUUUUUUU